CCUCACACCCCCGUUUGCAGCAUUGAUAAAAAUGCCAGUAUUUCAACUCCGGUUCUCCUGAUCUACGUUCGAUCUUCGUUACUCCUGACCUGGUUCACUCACCUCCGUCCACCGUCGUGUGAGCUGGGCUCGCCUAUCUGCCCUCUUCCCUCGGACAUCCUCCCGGCUCCUCCUCGGUCCCCGGUGCCCCUCGGCUCCCUCGCCUGAACCUCCUCAGUCCUCCAUGCCAGCGUCCCCGGCGUCCACCUUUCCCUCAUCACCACUCCCUCAGCCCCCUUUCCCUAAAUACAGUAAACCUGUUUGAAACUGA